rnacentral:rRNA from 1 species
CUUUACUGUAGCUUUGCAUUGGACUUUGAAUCGGUCUGUGUAGGAUAGGUGGGAGGCUGUGAAACCGGGACGCUAGUUUCGGUGGAGCCAACCUUGAAAUACCACCCUGAUUUAUUUGAGGUUCUAACCUUGAUCCGUGAAUCCGGAUCGGGGACCGUGCAUGGUGGGCAGUUUGACUGGGGCGGUCUCCUCCCAAAAGGUAACGGAGGAGUACGAAGGUACGCUUAGGACGGUCGGACAUCGUCCAUAAAGUGCAAUGGCAAAAGCGUGCUUGACUGCGAGACCCACAAGUCGAGCAGGUGCGAAAGCAGGUCAUAGUGAUCCGGUGGUUCUGUAUGGAAGGGCCAUCGCUCAACGGAUAAAAGGUA